GUGCCUUUUGUAGAAUGAACCGGCGAGUUACGAUCCCGUGCGAGGUUAAGCUGAAGAGGCGGAGCCGCAGCGAAAGCGAGUCUGAAUAGGGCGUUUAGUACGUGGUCGUAGACCCGAAACCAGGUGAUCUACCCAUGUCCAGGGUGAAGUUCAGGUAACACUGAAUGGAGGCCCGAACCCACGCACGUUGAAAAGUGCGGGGAUGAGGUGUGGGUAGCGGAGAAAUUCCAAUCGAACCUGGAGAUAGCUGGUUCUCCCCGAAAUAGCUUUAGGGCUAGCCUUAAGUGUAAGAGUCUUGGAGGUAGAGCACUGAUUGGACUAGGGGUCCUCAUCGGAUUACCGAAUUCAGUCAAACUCCGAAUGCCAAUGACUUAUCCUUAGGAGUCAGACUGCGAGUGAUAAGAUCCGUAGUCAAAAGGGAAACAGCCCAGACCGCCAGCUAAGGUCCCAAAGUGUGUAUUAAGUGGAAAAGGAUGUGGAGUUGCUUAGACAACUAGGAUGUUGGCUUAGAAGCAGCCACCAUUUAAAGAGUGCGUAAUAGCUCACUAGUCGAGUGACUCUGCGCCGAAAAUGUACCGGGGCUAAAUACACCACCGAAGCUGCGGAUUGAUACCAAUGGUAUCAGUGGUAGGGGAGCGUUCUAAGGACAGUGAAGUCAGACCGGAAGGACUGGUGGAGUGCUUAGAAGUGAGAAUGCCGGUAUGAGUAGCGAAAGACGGGUGAGAAUCCCGUCCACCGAAUGCCUAAGGUUUCCUGAGGAAGGCUCGUCCGCUCAGGGUUAGUCAGGACCUAAGCCGAGGCCGACAGGCGUAGGCGAUGGACAACAGGUUGAUAUUCCUGUACCACCUCUUUAUCGUUUGAGCAAUGGAGGGACGCAGAAGGAUAGAAGAAGCGUGCGAUUGGUUGUGCACGUCCAAGCAGUUAGGCUGAUAAGUAGGCAAAUCCGCUUAUCGUGAAGGCUGAGCUGUGAUGGGGAAGCUCCUUAUGGAGCGAAGUCUUUGAUUCCCCGCUGCCAAGAAAAGCUUCUAGCGAGAUAAAAGGUGCCUGUACCGCAAACCGACACAGGUAGGCGAGGAGAGAAUCCUAAGGUGUGCGAGAGAACUCUGGUUAAGGAACUCGGCAAAAUGACCCCGUAACUUCGGGAGAAGGGGUGCUUUCUUAACGGAAAGCCGCAGUGAAUAGGCCCAAGCGACUGUUUAGCAAAAACACAGCUCUCUGCGAAGCCGUAAGGCGAAGUAUAGGGGGUGACACCUGCCCGGUGCUGGAAGGUUAAGGAGAGGGGUUAGCGUAAGCGAAGCUCUGAACUGAAGCCCCAGUAAACGGCGGCCGUAACUAUAACGGUCCUAAGGUAGCGAAAUUCCUUGUCGGGUAAGUUCCGACCCGCACGAAAGGUGUAACGAUUUGGGCACUGUCUCAACCAGAGACUCGGUGAAAUUAUAGUACCUGUGAAGAUGCAGG
rnacentral:rRNA from 1 species